rnacentral:ncRNA from 1 species
CGGUCGGGAGGCUUCCGGUGGGACGGAAGCCAGGCAUAGACCGGAACUUUGUCGUCUCUGAGGGUGUGCCGCUGGGGCCCGACAGCGCCGCAUG